rnacentral:antisense_RNA from 1 species
UGUGGGAGCGGGCUUGCUCGCGAUAGCAUCAAACCGGUCUGCCUGCCUUGCCGAGUUGAUGCUAUCGCGAGCAAGCCCGCUCCCACA